rnacentral:rRNA from 1 species
AGAGUUUGAUCAUGGCUCAGGACGAACGCUGGCGGCGUGCCUAAUACAUGCAAGUCGAGCGGACCCUUCGGGGUUAGCGGCGGACGGGUGAGUAACACGUAGGCAACCUGCCUGUAAGACCGGGAUAACUUCGGGAAACCGGAGCUAAUACCGGAUGCUACUUUGGAACUCCUGUUCCUUAGUUAAAAGAUGGCUUCGGC